rnacentral:rRNA from 1 species
UACGUAGGGGGCUAGCGUUGUCCGGAAUCAUUGGGCGUAAAGCGCGUGUAGGCGGCUCGGUAAGUCCGCUCUGAAAGCCCGGGGCUCAACCCCGGGAGGCGGGUGGAUACUGCCGGGCUAGAGUCCGGAAGAGGCGAGUGGAAUUCCUGGUGUAGCGGUGAAAUGCGCAGAUAUCAGGAGGAACACCUAUUGCGAAGGCAGCUCGCUGGGACGUAACUGACGCUGAGACGCGAAAGCGUGGGGAGCAAAUAGG